rnacentral:rRNA from 1 species
CAAGUCGAGCGCUGAUUACAAGGUAGCAAUAUUUUGUAGUCGGAGCGGCGCAAGGGUGCGUAACACGUGGGCAAUCUGCCGUGAAGUUUGGGACAACUUGCUGAAAGGCGAGCUAAUACCGGAUGUAAAAAUUGGGAGGCAUCUUCUGAUUUUCAAAGCUGGGGACCGUAAGGCCUGGCGCUUCAUGAUGAGCCCGCGGCCUAUCAGCUAGUUGGUGAGGUAACGGCUCACCAAGGCUAAGACGGGUAGCUGGUCUGAGAGGACGACCAGCCACACUGGAACUGAGACACGGUCCAGACACCUACGGGUGGCAGCAGUCGAGAAUUUUUCACAAUGGGCGAAAGCCUGAUGGAGCGACGCCGCGUGGGGGAUGAAUGGCUUCGGCCCGUAAACCCCUGUCAUUUGCGAUCAAACCUCAUUAUUUAAAAGAUGAUGAGCUGAUAGUAGCGAAAGAGGAAGGGACGGCUAACUCUGUGCCAGCAGCCGCGGUAAUACAGAGGUCCCAAGCGUUGUUCGGAUUCACUGGGCGUAAAGGGUGCGUAGGUGGCGAGGUAAGUCGGAUGUGAAAGCUCGGAGCUCAACUCCGAAAUGGCAUUGGAAACUACCUUGCUCGAGGGUUGGAGGGGGGACCGGAAUUCUCGGUGUAGCAGUGAAAUGCGUAGAUAUCGAGAGGAACACCAGUGGCGAAGGCGAGUCCCUGGACAACUCCUGACACUGAGGCACGAAAGCUAGGGGAGCAAACAGGAUUAGAUACCCUGGUAGUCCUAGCCGUAAACGGUGCAUGUUUGCUGUAAAAGGAUUCGACCCCUUUUGUGGCGUAGCUAACGCGAUAAACAUGCCGCCCGGGAAGUACGGUCGCAAGAUUAAAACUCAAAGAAAUUGACGGGGGCCUGCACAA